CAAGAGAGCGCCACCAGGCACAGGAUAAUAUCUCUGUAUGCUUUGAGAGAGGGGGAGGAAGGAGGGAAGGAGGGUAGUGGGCCAGGAGGGGUUUCGCCAAUCAAGUGGGCCACACUUCCUCCCCCAGGUUCUAAUUUUGUGCCACAUUAAAGAGCUCGGCCUCCAUUUAGGACACAGAGAGGCAUUUUCAUAAUUUGCCGGGUCUCUUGACUAGCUCGGGGUGCCUUUUUUCCUCUCUCUCCUCCCUCUCUCUCUCACUCCGUGUCUGAAUGGAAGGCCUGGGGAGGAAGAGGGGUAAUUCAUUCGCCUCCUUUCAACCAGUUCUGCAUGAUGUUGCUGCUAGUGAUUACAGGGGCCUGCGGGCCUGGCGGCGGCUCCGUUGCUGGGACAGGGAGCUUCUCUCUGGGCAAGGAGAUACGCCUGUCUGCCCCUUCUGCUGGAGCUACAGGGACCAGGAUGUCAGGAGGGAGAGUGCUCCCUGUGAGCUCCUGCUCUCUCUCUCUCUCUUCCUCUCUGUGUCUUUCACCGUCUCUUUCUGUCUGUCUCUCUCUCCCUCUCAUCUCGCUGUCUGUACUAUUGCAGUGCUUGCAGAUGUGCACAAACAAGGGAGGAUUAAAGCAAAACGAAUCUAAACAGACAAAUGGAAUUAGAGUGAUGGGUGUCGGUGGGCUGGUUCACAGUGAUAAACAUAAUGAUGCUCUGUGAGUGUUUGUGUGUGUGUGUGUGUGUGUGUGUGUGUGAGAGAGUGUGUGUAUGUGUGAGUGUGUGUGUUCCUGCGUCUAGGGGAUUAUCGGUGGUUAGGUGUGUGGUGUGUAUGGCUGGGUGACUGCUUCUGGGUGUCUUUGUGUGUUUGCCUAUCUGUCUAUGUUUUUGUAAUUAUGUGUGUGUAUAUUUACUCGGUCUCUACUUGUGUGUGUGAUAAAUGUGUUAUUCCAUAUUGCCUCACAAAAACAAGUCUCUGCGCCCUCUGCAUGCGUGUGGAUAGGUUUCUGUGUUUUCCUAUUGUUCGGGGUCAUACUUCCUUCUCCUUUUCAUAGUGUCUGUUUGUAUUUGUGCACCGGAGCUACCAAAGCCGGUAUGUCUCUACUGCACAUAAAAACUCUUCACCCAGUAUUGACAGACACCUAGAAAGAUGAGAAAAAAAGGGUCCGUGUGUUUGUGUGCUGAAGAGGUCAGGAGUUUGGAGAAGUCAGCAGGGGGGCAGUGAUCAACAGUCUGGGGCUCCCCUGCCGAGGGGCUCUGGGAUUAGGGCUAAACCCUGCCCUGCCAGAUGGGCACAACACAUCCUCUACAUCGCACACCAUCACCUUUAGAACUGCACUCGCCCUGCCCCCUUCUGUGGAAACGAGUCGACUGGAUCCAGGGUGAUACUCACUGGACCACACGGAGCGUUGGCUGGAGAGACGACUGAGAUGAGCGGUGAGGUCACACCAUCUUUGGAGCCAAGAAAGGAUCCACAAUCACCGUGUGUUGAGAUCAAUGGAGGGGAGCAAGUGUGGAGCUCUCAGCAGCCGAGAGUCUAUUCCAGUCGGCGAAGUUGUGUGAGAAGCUUAAAGGAGGUCUGUCCAUUCCGAGCACUUCACCAGAAGAAUGAACUUGAGCUUUGUCCUUGGAUAAACAUUAG